GUGGGGAAUUUUGGACAAUGGGCGAAAGCCUGAUCCAGCAACGCCGCGUGAGUGAUGAAGGCCUUCGGGUUGUAAAGCUCUGUCGGAAGGAAAGAAUAAAGGCCACCUAAUACGUGGCCAUAUGACGGUACCUUUAAAGGAAGCAACGGCUAACUCUGUGCCAGCAGCCGCGGUAAGACAGAGGUUGCAAGCGUUGUUCGGAAUCACUGGGCGUAAAGGGCGUGUAGGCGGUGAAGUAUGUCUGAUGUGAAAGCCCCCGGCUUAACUGGGGAAGUGCAUCGGAAACUGCUUCGCUGGAGUGCGAGAGAGGAUGGCGGAAUUCCCAGAGUAGAGGUGAAAUUCGUAGAUACUGGGAGGAACACCUGAGGCGAAGGCGGCCAUCUGGCUCGCAACUGACGCUGAGACGCGAAAGCAUGGGUAGCAAACAGGAUUAGAUACCCCGGUAGUCC
rnacentral:rRNA from 1 species